UAGGAACCACAGGGGACAAAAAAACCACAACUCUGCUUAUUUGAAAGGGAUAACUCCAUGGUGGACAGCCCAUCUAGAAAACUGUGAAUCAUCAUGUCUCUCAAUGAGGAGGAAAGGCUUUGCAGCUGCUGACAGUUGCCUGGAGGUAGCGAUGGACUAAGUGAGGGCCAAUUAACUGAAGCUGGAUCCAGAUAAGAUAGAGCUUUCUAAAACAAAUGCUUCUGCAAUGCUUCAGCAGAUCUGCUUCCCAUACCACAUCAGGCUGUAUUCAAGAUACUCAUGGCUCACUGCAAGGGGGAAAGUUCACAUCAGCAACACUUCUUUCCCAUGAAGCACUCCAACAGAAAGGAAAAUAAAUUAUCUUGCAAUAAAGUAAUAUA